GUCUGGGGCUGGGUAGUGUGGGAAUGCGAGCCGAUUUGUGGUGUGACGACGGAUUGUCCAGGCAAGCUUGCAGUCUGUGGUUGGGUUGCCGGCGGAGGCUGGUGACACUCCACGGCUAAGCGGUGGCGCAACGCCGGAGGCGAGAAAUCGAGCACGGAUUAGUUGCCGCUG
rnacentral:SRP_RNA from 1 species